rnacentral:rRNA from 1 species
AGAGCGAACGCUGGCGGCAGGCUUAACACAUGCAAGUCGAACGGGCGUAGCAAUACGUCAGCGGCAGACGGGUGAGUAACGCGUGGGAACAUACCUUUUGGUUCGGAACAACACAGGGAAACUUGUGCUAAUACCGGAUAAGCCCUUACGGGGAAAGAUUUAUCGCCGAAAGAUUGGCCCGCGUCUGAUUAGCUAGUUGGUGAGGUAACGGCUCACCAAGGCGACGAUCAGUAGCUGGUCUGAGAGGAUGAUCAGCCACAUUGGGACUGAGACACGGCCCAAACUCCUACGGGAGGCAGCAGUGGGGAAUAUUGGACAAUGGGCGCAAGCCUGAUCCAGCCAUGCCGCGUGAGUGAUGAAGGCCCUAGGGUUGUAAAGCUCUUUCACACGCGACGAUGAUGACGGUAGCGUGAGAAGAAGCCCGGCUAACUUCGUGCCAGCAGCCGC